rnacentral:rRNA from 1 species
AACGAACGCUGGCGGCAGGCCUGACACAUGCAAGUCGAGCGCCCGGAUUUAUCCGGGAGCGGCGCACGGGUGAGUAACGCGUGGGAACAUGCCCUGAAGUACGGAACAACCUGGGGAAACCUUGGCUAAUACCGUAUACGCCCUGAGGGGGAAAGAUUUAUCGCUUUGGGAUUGGCCCGCGUUGGAUUAGCUGGAUGGUGUGGUAACGGCGCACCAAGGCGACGAUCCAUAACUGGUCUGAGAGGAUGACCAGUCACACUGGGACUGAGACACGGCCCAGACUCCUACGGGAGGCAGCAGUGGGGAAUAUUGGACAAUGGGCGAAAGCCUGAUCCAGCCAUGCCGCGUGAGUGAAGAAGGCUUUCGGGUUGUAAAGCUCUUUCAGCGGGGACGAUGAUGACGGUACCCGCAGAAGAAGCCCCGGCUAACUUCGUGCCAGCCGCCGCUGUAA